GCACCUGAUUGAUUUUGGUCGCCAACGAGUGGCGGACGGGUGAGUAACACGUAGGUAACCUGCCCAGAAGCGGGGGACAACAUUUGGAAACAGAUGCUAAUACCGCAUAACARCGUUGUUCGCAUGAACAACGCUUAAAAGAUGGCUUCUCGCUAUCACUUCUGGAUGGACCUGCGGUGCAUUAGCUUGUUGGUGGGGUAAYGGCCUACCAAGGCGAUGAUGCAUAGCCGAGUUGAGAGACUGAUCGGCCACAAUGGGACUGAGACACGGCCCAUACUCCUACGGGAGGCAGCAGUAGGGAAUCUUCCACAAUGGGCGCAAGCCUGAUGGAGCAACACCGCGUGAGUGAAGAAGGGUUUCGGCUCGUAAAGCUCUGUUGUUAAAGAAGAACACGUAUGAGAGUAACUGUUCAUACGUUGACGGUAUUUAACCAGAAAGUCACGGCUAACUACGUGCCAGCAGCCGCGGUAAUACGUAGGUGGCAAGCGUUAUCCGGAUUUAUUGGGCGUAAAGAGAGUGCAGGCGGUUUUCUAAGUCUGAUGUGAAAGCCUUCGGCUUAACCGGAGAAGUGCAUCGGAAACUGGAUAACUUGAGUGCAGAAGAGGGUAGUGGAACUCCAUGUGUAGCGGUGGAAUGCGUAGAUAUAUGGAAGAACACCAGUGGCGAAGGCGGCUACCUGGUCUGCAACUGACGCUGAGACUCGAAAGCAUGGGUAGCGAACAGGAUUAGAUACCCUGGUAGUCCAUGCCGUAAACGAUGAGUGCUAGGUGUUGGAGGGUUUCCGCCCUUCAGUGCCGGAGCUAACGCAUUAAGCACUCCGCCUGGGGAGUACGACCGCAAGGUUGAAACUCAAAGGAAUUGACGGGGGCCCGCACAAGCGGUGGAGCAUGUGGUUUAAUUCGAAGCUACGCGAAGAACCUUACCAGGUCUUGACAUCUUGCGCCAACCCUAGAGAUAGGGCGUUUCCUUCGGGAACGCAAUGACAGGUGGUGCAUGGUCGUCGUCAGCUCGUGUCGUGAGAUGUUGGGUUAAGUCCCGCAACGAGCGCAACCCUUGUUACUAGUUGCCAGCAUUAAGUUGGGCACUCUAGUGAGACUGCCGGUGACAACCGGAGGAAGGUGGGGACGACG
rnacentral:rRNA from 1 species